AUUGAACGCUGGCGGCAGGCCUAACACAUGCAAGUCGAACGAGUGGCGGACGGGUGAGUAAUGUCUGGGAAACUGCCUGAUGGAGGGGGAUAACUACUGGAAACGGUAGCUAAUACCGCAUACCAUCAGAUGUGCCCAGAUGGGAUUAGCUAGUUGGUGGGGUAACGGCGCACCAAGGCGAAGAUCCCUAGCUGGUCUGAGAGGAGGACACGCCACACUGGAACUGGUACACUGUCCAGACGCCUACGGGAGGCAGCAGUGGGGAAUAUUGCACAAUGGGCGCAAGCCUGAUGCAGCCAUGCCGCGUGUAUUAAGAAGGCCUUUGGGUUGUAAAGUACUUUUCGCGGGGAGGCGUUACCCGCAGAAGAAGCACCGGCUAACUCCGUGCCAGCCGCCGCGGUAAUUC
rnacentral:rRNA from 1 species